GACGAACCGUCCUAACGUUGUUCGGAAUCACUGGGCUUAAAGGGCGCGUAGGCGGCUUGCCAAGUCAGGGGUGAAAUCCUGCAGCUUAACUGUAGAAGGGCCUUUGAUACUGGCGAGCUCGAGGGAGGUAGGGGUAUGUGGAACUUCCGGUGGAGCGGCGAAAUGCGUUGAUAUCGGAAGGAACGCCGGUGGCGAAAGCGACGUACUGGACCUCUUCUGACGCUGAGGCGCGAAAGCUAGGGGAGCAAACGGG
rnacentral:rRNA from 1 species